rnacentral:lncRNA from 1 species
AUGGAGUGUGUAUAAGAGAAGAAGAGAAGGUUCCUGCUGUGCCAGAAACCCUCAAGAAAAAGUGAAGGAAUUUUGCAGAGCUGAAGAUCAAGAGCCUGAGAAAGAAGUUUGCCCAAAAGAUGCUUUGAAAGGGAAGGAGGAAGCUUCUAUGAAAAAAUGAAGCACUAUCACAAGGAAUAUAGGCAGAUGUACAGAACUGAAAUUUGAAUGGCGAGGAUGACAAGAAAAGCUGGCCACUUCUGUGUUCCUGAAGAACCCAAAUUGGCAUUUGUCAUCAGGAUCAGAGGUAUCAAUGGUGUGAGCCAAAAGGUCUGAAAGCUGUUGCAGCUUCUUUGCCUUCAUCAAAUCCUCAGUGGAACCUUUGUGAAGCUCAAGAGGCUUCAGUUAACAUGCUGAGGAUUGUAAAGCCAUAUAUUGCAUGGGGGUUCCCAAAUCUAAAGUUAGUAAAUGAACUAAUCUACAAGCAUGGUUAUAGCAAAAUCAAUAAGAAGCAAAUUGCUUGGACAGAUAAUGCUUUGAUUGCUCGAUCUCUUGGUAAAUAUGGCAUCAUCUGCAUGGAGGAUCUGAUUCAUGAGAUCUGUACUGUUGGAAAAUGCUUCACAGAAGCAAAUAACUUCCUGUGAUCCUUCAAAGUAUCUUCUCCACGAGCCAGAAUGAAGAAACAGAGCACCCAUUUUGUAGAAGGUGGAGAUGCAACAGGGAGGACCAGAUCAACAGGCUUAUUAGAAGAAUGA